GCCUGGUUAGCUCAGUCGGCAGAGCACUUGACUCUUAAUCAAGUUGUCGCGGGUUCGAGCCCCGCAUCGGGCU
rnacentral:tRNA from 2 species